rnacentral:rRNA from 1 species
GACGAACGCUGGCGGCGUGCUUAACACAUGCAAGUCGAACGGGCCUUGUCCCCUUUUUUUUUGGGGUGGGGUUAGUGGCGAACGGGUGAGUAACACGUGAGUAACCUGCCCCUCACUUCUGGAUAGCCGCUUGAAAGGGUGGCUAAUACGGGGUGUUCUGGCCUGCUCGCAUGGGUGGGUUUGGAAAGAUUCGACCGGUUUUGGUUGUUUUGGUGGGGGAUGGGCUCGCGGCCUAUCAGCUUGUUGGUGGGGUGAUGGCCUGCCAAGGCUUUGACGGGUAGCCGGCCUGAGAGGGUGGGCGGUCACACUGGGACUGAGACACGGCCCAGACUCCUACGGGAGGCAGCAGUGGGGAAUAUUGCACAAUGGGCGCAAGCCUGAUGCAGCGACGCCGCGUGAGGGAUGGAGGCCUUCGGGUUGUGAACCUCUUUCGCCAGUGAAGAAGGUCCUGCUCUUUGUGGUGGGGUUGACGGUAGCUGGGUUAAUGAAGCGCCGGCUAACUACGUG